GAUGAACGCUGGCGGCGUGCUUAACACACGCGAGUCGAACGGAAAGGCCAGUGCUUGCACUGUUGCUCGAGUGGCGAACGGGUGAGUAACACGUGGGAGAUCUGCCCUGCACUUUGGGAUAAGCCUGGGAAACUGGGUCGAAUACCGGAUAGGACCAUGCUAUGGACGGGGUGGUGGAAAGAUUUUUCGGUGUGGGAUGAGCUUGCGGCCUAUCAGCCUGUCGGUGGGGUGAUGGCCUACCAAGGCGUCGCCGGGUAGCCGGCCUGGGCGGGUGUACGGCCACAUUGGGACUGGGGUACGGCCCAGACUCCUACGGGGGGCAGCAGUGGGGAGUAUUGCACCAUGGGCGCGAGCCUGAUGCAGCGGCGCCGCGUGGGGGAUGACGGACUUCGGGUUGCAAACUCCUUUCGCAACUGACGAAGCUUUUUGUGACGGUAGGUUGAGAAGAAGCACCGGCUAACUACGUG
rnacentral:rRNA from 1 species